rnacentral:rRNA from 1 species
ACGCUCGACACCUACGAGGCAGCAGUGGGGAAUAUUGGGCAAUGGGCGCAAGCCUGACCCAGCAACGCCGCGUGAGUGAUGAAGGUCUUCGGAUUGUAAAACUCUUUAAGCAGGGAAGAAGAAAGUGACGGUACCUGCAGAAUAAGCAUCGGCUAACUACGUGCCGGCAGCCGCGGUAAUCUGAGCGGGCUGGCGAAGGC